rnacentral:rRNA from 1 species
GACGAACGCUGGCGGCGUGCUUAACACAUGCAAGUCGAACGGAAAGGCCCUGCUUUUGUGGGGUGCUCGAGUGGCGAACGGGUGAGUAACACGUGAGUAACCUGCCCUUGACUUUGGGAUAACUUCAGGAAACUGGGGCUAAUACCGGAUAGGAGCUCCUGCUGCAUGGUGGGGGUUGGAAAGUUUCGGCGGUUGGGGAUGGACUCGCGGCUUAUCAGCUUGUUGGUGGGGUAGUGGCUUACCAAGGCUUUGACGGGUAGCCGGCCUGAGAGGGUGACCGGCCACAUUGGGAUUGAGAUAAGGCACAGACUAGUACGGUAGGGAGCGGAGGAGAAGAGUACACAAGGGGCGGAGGCAAGAUGUGGCAACGCCGCGUGGGGGAUGACGGGCUUGGGUUUGGAAACCGCUUUCGCUUUAGACGAAGCGUGAAUGACGGUAACGGGUAAAGAAGCACCGGCUAACUACGUG